CAAUCAGAGCGAAAUUCCCAGCCGGCAGCAGUUUUUGUAAAGGUUUACAAAAUGACAAAGAAGCAGCCUACUUGGAGUCGCUCAAUUGCGACAUUUAGUUUCAAAACCAAUCCUGCUUGCCUGGAGGAGUUAUCCUGUUCCACCUGGAGGAGUUAUCCUGCUCUGCCAUGAGGAAGUUCACUCUUCAGUCACCUUUUCCAGCUUUCAUUUGAAAAGUUUGAAAAAGGUUUGUGAGAAUUAUGGCUGUAGAGGGUGCAGGAUGGAUGCAGUAAAUGUACAAGAGAAGACAUAAAAUGUGAAAUGCAGGUCAGAGUCUGUGAAAAAGAGACCAAGACAAAAGCAACACAUUUUCAGUGGAUAAUGAGCUCUGAUAAA